rnacentral:rRNA from 1 species
UACGAGGGGGGCGAGCGUUGUUCGGAUUCAUUGGGCGUAAAGGGCGCGUAGGCUGCGGGGCAAGUCGGGUGUGAAAUCUCAGAGCUCAACUCUGAAACUGCACUCGAUACUGCUUUGCUCGAGGACUGGAGAGGAGAUUGGAAUUCACGGUGUAGCAGUGAAAUGCGUAGAUAUCGUGAGGAAGACCAGUGGCGAAGGCGGAUCUCUGGACAGUUCCUGACGCUGAGGCGCGAAAGCGUGGGGAGCAAACAGG